GGAGAAGCUGGGCUGAGCCUGACCCCAGCUUUGGGCUUCCCCCGCGGCCGCGAAAGCGGAAAGACUAAAAGCUACGUUAGCGCUAAAGGCGGGGGGAAGGUCUGCGCGUCGCGACUGCGAAGCGCCGAGCUAACAAAAACGCACCGUGUUCGCGGCUGGAGGGUGUCGUUCUUGAGCGAGGAACCUCGGACCCCAAAUCAGGGAAGACAACCACGGACACAAGUAGCACAGUGGUCUGGGAAGAAGAAAAGCCAUCUCUCCACACAAUGCAGUGCUUUCUGUAGCUUCUCCUCCAACGUUUCUGAAUUUUCACAGCUCAAAAGACAGUAAGUGGUGGAUUCAGGGAUAUCUGGCUGAUUAGUGCUAUGAAAGCAGACUCUUGGCUGGAUCACCACCACGCCUAAGCGCAGUCAUUGGUUUAUCCUCAGAAGACCUAUGUGAGGUAUCUUUCUCCUCAUGACAAAACGGAUACCUAAACUACAAGCAAAAGUAAGCAAUCAAUAUCUCCUCACCCAUGCACUGUAAUACUACGAAAUGCCUUCACCACAAAAUCAUCCUUCCUUUCUAUCCUCCUCUGUCCAGCAUCAGCCUAUUUUCAAACCUACAGAACCUUUAGUCAAGAUGUGCUUGCGCAGUGCAGCUCCACAGCAAAUGGAAAACCUCAAUUAAAUCCCGUAACACCUCCAGGACUCCAUAUACACAUCCACAACAUAAAAUGCCAUUUCUUUUAGGCUUGAAGUUUUCCAUACUCGUAUUUUUCUCAAAUCAAAAGCCAACUUGAGCCAGAGAAUGAAAGCAUCACUAGAAGUAAAACCUGAAAGGUAACAUUUUCCUGCCAGAGCCAUGUGACUUCCUACUAUUAUGCCCAGAAUUAGGAGGAUGAGGACCACUGGGAAGCCAGAGAUGUCUUGUAGUAAACUCGAAAUUGAUUUGAAGGCUAGAGAGUUAAAUGUAUACAUCUCUGUAUUUAAAUUACUAAUAGCUUUGUGAUCAUAAAUCCUUUGUCCAUGAGUCAGUAUAUUGUGACUGUUUAGUCUAUUUUUGUAGUGAGAGGACAGAAUUGUUUCUAUUGUGAUUGAGUAAGUUUACCUCAUAUGCAGCUCCCACUGUGAUGAGUAAUGAGAAUCAUUAGUCCCAAGACUCAAAACAAUAUUUUAUUUAAGCUGGCCUUUCUAGCAUCUUCAUGAUGAUU
rnacentral:lncRNA from 1 species